UACAGAGGGGGCAAGCGUUGUUCGGAAUUACUGGGCGUAAAGGGCGCGUAGGCGGCCUGUUAAGUCGGACGUGAAAUCCCUCGGCUCAACCGGGGAACUGCGUCUGAUACUGGCGGGCUUGAAUUCGGGAGAGGGAUGUGGAAUUCCCGGUGUAGCGGUGAAAUGUGUAGAGAUCGGGAGGAACACCCAGGGGGAAACCAGCCGACUGGGCAAGUGCUGACGCUGAGGUGCGAGAGCGUGGGGAGCGAACCGG
rnacentral:rRNA from 1 species